GGGGCCACCAGGCCCUGGGAGGCAGCCCCCGGCACCAUCCGUGCUGACUAUGCCGUGGAAGUUGGCAGGAAUGUCAUCCAUGGGAGCGACUCCGUGGACAACGGGAAGAAGGAGAUCGCUCUCUGGUUCCCUGAAGGUUUAGCUGAGUGGAGGAGCAACCUUCACCCUUGGAUCUAUGAGUCUUAGAGCUUCGCGCCUAUAAUCGAUCACCUCUUGGUGGCUAGUUCUCGUUAAAUAUUUGAGUUUUGUUUCAGAGUUGUCAU
rnacentral:misc_RNA from 1 species